rnacentral:rRNA from 1 species
CCCUUAGAUGUUCUGGGCUGCACGCGCGCUACACUGAAGCUAUCAACACGUUUUCCCUCCCUGAGAAGGGCGGGUAACCUUUUGAAUCAGCUUCGUGGUAGGGAUCGGGGCUUGCAAUUGUUCCCCGUGAACCAGGAAUUCCUAGUAGACGCGAGUCAUAAGCUCGCAUCGAUUAAGUCCCUGCCCUUUGUACACACCGCCCGUCGCUACUACCGAUUGAACGUUUUAGUGAGGCAUUUGGACCGACGCAUCUCAGUUUAACCGCUGGUUUGUGUUGGAAAGACUUCCAAACUUGAGCGUUUAGAGAAAGUAAAAGUCGUAACA